CAGGCCUUCCUUGCCCAGGUGGUGAUGUUUGCCCUUUGACUUAACAGGUUCUCCCACUACUACCUAGGGCUUGCUUCCUGGGAAACAGGUUCUCCCCUACUCCCUAGGGCUUGCCUCCUGGGAAGCAGGUUUGCCCAGGCCCUGGAGUCUGGACCCUGAAAAAUACAGGUUCUCCCCUGCUCCCUAGGGCUUGCCUCCUGGGAAACAGGUUCUCCCCUACUCCCUAGGGCUUGCUUCCUGGGAAACAGGUUUGCCCGGGUCCUGGAGUCUGGCCUCUGAGAAAUACAGGGGAAGUCUCUGUGGAUACACAUAUCAGAACCACUGCAGAUCUAGUGCUGGAAGAUGAGCCGUUCAGGUCGGAAGGCACUCAAGGAGCUACUGGAGGCGCUAAGAUGAUGUCUCAGAGUAUCGUGGGGGUUUAUUACAGCCUUCGGGCCCUCCGGUUGCUUAUGUUGCCACG